GUGACUAAAUCAAGCCAAUAUCCAAAAGGACUCUUCCAUUUCUUUGGCUUUUUUCACAUUUUUCUUAUUUAUCAUGGUUUGUCAUGAAUUUUCUGAUGUGAGCUUUGAUUUUGAGGCUGGAAUAUGGAGUUCAAGACACGGAAGGAAUGGUCUUUUUCAAUCAGGGCACAGCUGUUGGCUUGCUCCAAUUCUGGCUUUCUGUCAUUGUUUUGGGUGCCUCAGCCAACUUUUGGUUUCUUGAGUGGCAAUUUCCUAAAUGAUUUCUGGGUCUGAGUUGGUUUUGCCUUCUUCCUUCCCAAAUUUUGUAUUCUGACGCAAUACAAACCAGAGUUUAGACAGCGGAUCCAUUAUGAAAUAAAAAACACAACAAAUUAGCGUGUCAUGCUUAGAAUUCUAGAGGCAGCACGACCAACAUGAGUUUUUGUGUUUUGGAAAAAGAAAUGGAACCCUUUUGCAGAGGGGAACGAUAAUUAAUUCCCCCAAAUCAAGUUUGCCAGCGAUUUUCAGGUGCAUUGAAUUAGUUUUCCAAAGCCAGUCAGCUGGGAGGGGUGGAUGAAUCUGGAAACAGCCUGUUUCCUUGUGACUAAAUCAAGCCAAUAUCAAAAAGGACUCUUCCGUUUCUUUGGCUUUUUCACAUUGUUCGUAUUUAUCAUGGUUUGUCAUGAAUUUUCUGAUGUGAGCUUUGAUUUUGAGGCUGGAAUAUGGAGUUCAAGACACGGAAGGAAUGGUCUUUUUCAAUCAGGGCACAGCUGUUGGCUUGCUCCAAUUCUGGCUUUCUGUCAUUGUUUUGGGUGCCUCAGCCGACUUUUGGUUUCUUGAGCAGCAAUUUCCUAAAUGAUUUCUGGGUCUGAGUUGGUUUUGCCUUCUUCCUUCCCAAAUUUUGUAUUCUGACGCAAUACAAACCAGAGUUUAGACAGCGGAUCCAUUAUGAAAUAAAAAACACAACAAAUUAGCCUGUCAUGCUUAGAAUUCUAGAGGCAGCACGACCAACAUGAUUUUUGUGUUUUGGAAAAAGAAAUGGAACCCUUUUGCAGAGGGGAACGAAAAUUAAUUCCCCCAAAUCAAGUUUGCCAGCGAUUUUCAGGUGCAUUGAAUGAGUUUUCCAAAGCCAGUCAGCUGGGAGGGGUGGAUGAAUCUGGAAACAGCCUGUUUCCUUGUGACUAAAUCAAGCCAAUAUCACAAAGGACUCUUCCGUUUCUUUGGCUGUUUUCACAUUUUUCGUAUUUAUCAUGGUUUGUCAUGAAUUUUCUGAUGUGAGCUUUCAUUUGGAGGCUGGAAUAUGGAGUUCAAGACACGGAAGGAAUGGUCUUUUUCAAUCAGGGCACAGCUGUUGGCUUGCUCCAAUUCUGGCUUUCUGUCAUUGUUUUGGGUGCCUCAGCUGACUUUUGGUUUCUUGAGCGGCAAUUUCCUAAAUGAUUUCUGGGUCUGAGUUGGUUUUGCCUUCUUCCUUCCCAAAUUUUGUAUUCUGACGCAAUAGAAGCCAGAGUUUAGACAGCGGAUCCAUUAUGAAAUAAAAAACACAACAAAUUAGCGUGUCAUGCUUAGAAUUCUAGAGGCAGCACGACCAACAUGAGUUUUUGUGUUUUGGAAAAAGAAAUGGAACCCUUUUGCAGAGGGGAACGCUAAUGAAUUCCCCA